rnacentral:tRNA from 2 species
GCACCCGUAGCUCAGCUGGAUAGAGCACAUGCCUACGAAGCAUGGGGUCGGGCGUUCGAAUCGCUCCGGGUGCG